CAGGAUGUAGUUCAAUUGGUAGAGCAUGUGCUUUGGAAGCAUGAUGUUGUUGGUUCAAGUCCAGCCGUCCUGU
rnacentral:tRNA from 1 species